UCUGUGUCAUACAUGUGUGAUGAUCAAAACAAACUUGUCUUACUGUAAAUCUUCCCUUCUCAGCUGGGGCUUGCUUCCUGCUAGAAGUACGUGGUGGAGAAAGGGACAGGGUUUUGCUGUUCCCACUCUCCCAGUCCUGAGGCCCCAAUUCAUUAGCUUCAGUGCCUGCCUCCUGUCAACAUUGAAGUUGUUAGCAGGGAGGAAGGGCGCCACCUUUAAACUGCCCAUGUGGAUAAGAGAAGCAGCACCUGCAAGUCCCACAUUUUGUUACAAUCAGAGCAGACCCUAAGUUCACCUUGCUUCCAAAGGCGAAGGAAGAACCUCGAGAAAAGGAAAGAAUUAGCACCUUCUCUGCACCAGGCAUUGCGAGAGGAAAUGGAAAAAUCUUUGGAAUUUUUAACUCUUGCAACCAUCCUGUGGGGUAGACAUGACCAUCUGCAUUGACUGAUGAGGAAACUAAGACUCGGGGGUUUCCAAGAAGUUGCCUAAGCUGCUCAUGUUUGCACAGCGAGCAGUACGAGGGUCAGAAAUGGACUUGGUAUCUUGUGACUUAAGCGCCCAUUUAAUCUUGUGGCUUCCUCUGCUUUGUCUCCCAGAGAAAAUGUGAGAGGAAGAACAUUGCAUGGAAGAGAAGGAUGCAGGUGUGGAACAUAUUUCACAUGCAAAGAAAUACUGGGGAAAAAACGGUCGAAUCCAUUCUCUUACCUCUGUCUCUGGAAUGAGAAGUCAAUUUUUAAUUAUAUGGGUAAGGUUGACCAGGACCAACGUAUCAAAAAUGCCGAGUUCAGGGUUGGAGAUUAAAUAUAAAAAAGAGGUUCAAUUUAUUACUGUUUGGAAGAAAUAAACAUCCACAUGUAAGAAAGAGACUGGGAUCUCUCUGCCUCCAGCCUGCCCUUGACCCUGAGGUGAACAGUUUGAAGUAUGAUCUCUCGGGACAAUAAAUGAAUAGUGAGUGGAGAACAUGAUUCAAUGUUAAUGCCAUUAUAUUCUGGGGUGAUGAUCAAGUGUGGGAAAUCAUGUGGCUAUCACCAUCUGCUGACACCAUCCUUUUUGGGGGCACGGAUUUGCUCAGGUCAGAUAACAUUCUUGGGAGCCUACCCAGGGAUCUUUUUUGCCUUGUGAUAACAUAGACCCUAAACCCUGUGCCUGAUUCAUUCCUUUCCAACAUGUUUCUGAUUGCUAACCACUUA